AAUUAGAAAUUACAGAGACGAGAGAAUAGGGCAAGGGCAAAUUUCCUUUCCUCGAAUCGGUGGUCCUAGAUCUGACGGCGCCGGCGAUCGACUCGGUACUCGGCGCCGGGAGUAGUUUCAGUGGUUCGGUCCGGCGGUUCAAAUCUUCGACGGCGGUCGACUCGAAGAUGAGCAGGAUACCAUUACUUUGCUGUCCAGCUGUGGGGUUUCUACUUUCUCAUUUGAAAUAUGCACUUGUUGAGCUGAAGUCCUAUACUAUCUCUCUUAUGCUAUGAACAUGACAUCCAGUUACUUAUGCUAUCCUAAAAUCAGAAAGCCCGUUGAAUUUUUGGAAUGUGGCCCAGUUGACCUGCCACAGUAAUACAGUGGUUUGUAUACUUGUGAAGUCCCCGAGGUCUAUUGCUAAACAGCAAUAUUGGAUAUCUGCUUAUUGGACUAUGGCAAGAUUUCAGGAUACCAUUACUUUGCUGUCCAGCUGUGGGGGUUUCUACUUUCUCGUUUGAAAAAUGCACUUGUUGAGCUAAAGUUCUAUAUUAUUCCUCCUAUGCUAUGACCAUGACAUCCAGUUAAUUAUGAUAAAAAAAGCCUGUUGGAUCUUUGACAUGUGGCUCAGUUGACCAGCCACAGUGGUACAUUGGUUUAUAUACUUUGGGAAGUCUCCUGAGGUCUACUGCUACACAUCAAUAUUCUGAAGUGUCACCCAAGCCACACCAUGCAGAUUUUUUUGCAUUGGGACAGUGGUAAGAUAUCAGGUAUUGUCUAUUCUUAUAGUUUGGAUUGCAAAUUAUAUCAUGUAAAGUUUUUGAUAGUUGAAACUUAGUCUAGUCUUGGUAAAAACUAAAAGGAACAUGUGAACUGUACUUGGCAGUUCAAAUUUGUAAAUGCUGCAGAUCAACUAGGCUAGUUAGAUGUUGAUGAUGAUGAGGUAGAGGGGACCUUCAAGAGGGUGAGGAAAAUGGCAAAUCAAUGGGACCUUCAGACUUGUAUGCAGUGCUGCACACUAAUGGUCAAUGGUGUUUUGGGA